UACCAGCACCCCGAGUGGUCGGGACGAUUAUUGGGCCUAAAGCAUCUGUAGCCGGCCUUACAAGUCCUCCGUUAAAUCCAGCUGCUUAACAGAUGGGCUGCGGAGGAUACUAUAAGACUAGGAGGCAGGAGAGGCAAGCGGUACUCAGUGGGUAGGGGUAAAAUCCGUUGAUCCAUUGAAGACCACCAGUGGCGAAGGCGGCUUGCCAGAAUGCGCUCGACGGUGAGGGAUGAAAGCUGGGGGAGCAAACCGG
rnacentral:rRNA from 1 species